rnacentral:rRNA from 1 species
UUGGACUCGCGCGCUUCCACAUGCAAGUCGAACGCUCGCACCCCGUGUGCUCAUUCUUUCGAGGGUGGGUUGGGGUGUGGGAGUGGCGGACGGGUGAGUAACACGUGAGUAACCUGCCCCGGGCGUGGGGAUAACCCUGGGAAACUGGGGCUAAUACCGGAUGUGCUGCAUGCCUCGCAUGGGGUGUGUGGGAAAGGUUCACCUUUGUGAGGGGGUGUUCCGGCCUGGGUGGGGCUCGCGGCCCAUCAGCUUGUUGGUGCGGUGAGGGCGUACCAAGGCGAUGACGGGUAGCCGGCCUGAGAGGGUGAUCGGCCACACUGGGACUGAGACACGGCCCAGACUCCUACGGGAGGCAGCAGUGGGGAAUUUUGCGCAAUGGGCGGAAGCCUGACGCAGCGACGCCGUGUGGGGGAGGACGGCCUUCGGGUUGUAAACCCCUUUCGGCCCUGACGAAUGUGACGGUAGGGGCUAAAGAAGCGCCGGCUAACUACGUGCCAGCAGCCGCGGUAAUACGUAGGGCGCGAGCGUUGUCCGGAUUUACUGGGCGUAAAGGGCUCGUAGGCGGUUUGUCGCGUCGGUCGUGGAAAUGCGCAGCUCAACUGGGCACGUGCGGCCGAUACGGGCAGACUCGAGGGCGGUAGGGGCAAGCGGAAUUCCUGGUGUAGCGGUGAAAUGCGCAGAUAUCAGGAGGAACACCGAUGGCGAAGGCAGCUUGCUGGGCCGUUCCUGACGCUGAGGAGCGAAAGCGUGGGUAGCGAACAGGAUUAGAUACCCUGGUAGUCCAUGCUGUAAACGUUGGGCGCUAGGUGUGGGGACCGUUGUGGUGUCCGUGCCGUAGCUAACGCAUUAAGCGCCCCGCCUGGGGAGUACGGCCGCAAGGCUAAAACUCAAAGGAAUUGACGGGGGCCCGCACAAGCGGCGGAGCAUU